UAGGGAAUCUUCGGCAAUGGACGGAAGUCUGACCGAGCAACGCCGCGUGAGUGAAGAAGGUUUUCGGAUCGUAAAGCUCUGUUGUAAGAGAAGAACGAGUGUGAGAGUGGAAAGUUCACACUGUGACGGUAUCUUACCAGAAAGGGACGGCUAACUACGUGCCAGCAGCCGCGGUAAUACGUAGGUCCCGAGCGUUGUCCGGAUUUAUUGGGCGUAAAGCGAGCGCAGGCGGUUAGAUAAGUCUGAAGUUAAAGGCUGUGGCUUAACCAUAGUACGCUUUGGAAACUGUUUAACUUGAGUGCAAGAGGGGAGAGUGGAAUUCCAUGCGUAGCGGUGAAAUGCGUAGAUAUAUGGAGGAACACCGGUGGCGAAAGCGGCUCUCUGGCUUGUAACUGACGCUGAGGCUCGAAAGCGUGGGGAGCAAACAGGAUUAGAUACCCUGGUAGUCCACGCCGUAAACGAUGAGUGCUAGGUGUUAGACCCUUUCCGGGGUUUAGUGCCGCAGCUAACGCAUUAAGCACUCCGCCUGGGGAGUACNACCGCAAGGNUG
rnacentral:rRNA from 1 species